UACGUAGGGUGCGAGCGUUAAUCGGAAUUACUGGGCGUAAAGCGUGCGCAGGCGGUUUUGUAAGCCGGAUGUGAAAUCCCCGGGCUUAACCUGGGAAUGGCAUUCGGGACUGCAAGGCUGGAGUGCGGCAGAGGAGACUGGAAUUCCUGGUGUAGCAGUGAAAUGCGUAGAUAUCAGGAGGAACACCGAUGGCGAAGGCAGCCCCCUGGGCUGACACUGACGCUCAGGCACGAAAGCGUGGGGAGCAAACAGG
rnacentral:rRNA from 1 species